rnacentral:rRNA from 1 species
AGUGAACGCUGGCGGUAGGCCUAACACAUGCAAGUCGAACGGCAGCACAGUAAGAGCUUGCUCUUACGGGUGGCGAGUGGCGGACGGGUGAGGAAUACAUCGGAAUCUACUUUUUCGUGGGGGAUAACGUAGGGAAACUUACGCUAAUACCGCAUACGACCUACGGGUGAAAGCAGGGGAUCUUCGGACCUUGCGCGAUUGAAUGAGCCGAUGUCGGAUUAGCUAGUUGGCGGGGUAAAGGCCCACCAAGGCGACGAUCCGUAGCUGGUCUGAGAGGAUGAUCAGACACACUGGAACUGAGACACGGUCCAGACUCCUACGGGAGGCAGCAGUGGGGAAUAUUGGACAAUGGGCGCAAGCCUGAUACAGCCAUACCGCGUGGGUGAAGAAGGCCUUCGGGUUGUAAAGCCCUUUUGUUGGGAAAGAAAAACAGCAGGUUAAUACCCCGCUGUUCUGACGGUACCCAAAGAAUAAGCACCGGCUAACUUCGUG